rnacentral:rRNA from 1 species
UACAGAGGGUGCAAGCGUUAAUCGGAAUUACUGGGCGUAAAGCGCGCGUAGGUGGUUUGUUAAGUUGGAUGUGAAAGCCCCGGGCUCAACCUGGGAACUGCAUCCAAAACUGGCAAGCUAGAGUAUGGUUGAGGGUGGUGGAAUUUCCUGUGUAGCGGUGAAAUGCGUAGAUAUAGGAAGGAACACCAGUGGCGAAGGCGACCACCUGGACUGAUACUGACACUGAGGUGCGAAAGCGUGGGGAGCAAACAGG